rnacentral:rRNA from 1 species
UACGAAGGGUGCAAGCGUUACUCGGAAUUACUGGGCGUAAAGCGUGCGUAGGCGGCCUGUUGCGUCCGCUGUGAAAGCCCGGGGCUUAACCCCGGGUCUGCAGUGGAUACGGGCAGGCUAGAGGUAGGUAGGGGAGAAUGGAAUUCCCGGUGUAGCGGUGAAAUGCGCAGAUAUCGGGAGGAACACCGGUGGCGAAGGCGGUUCUCUGGGCCUUACCUGACGCUGAGGAGCGAAAGCGUGGGGAGCGAACAGG